rnacentral:rRNA from 1 species
UACGGAGGGUGCAACCGUUGCUCGGAAUCAUUGGGCGUAAAGCGCACGUAGGCGGACCGCUAAGUCGGAUGUGAAAGCCCUCGGCUUAACCGAGGAAGUGCAUUCGAAACUGACGGUCUUGAGUCCGAUAGAGGUGGGUGGAAUUCCUAGUGUAGAGGUGAAAUUCGUAGAUAUUAGGAAGAACACCGGUGGCGAAGGCGGCCCACUGGAUCGGUACUGACGCUGAGGUGCGAAAGCGUGGGGAGCAAACAGG